rnacentral:tRNA from 1 species
GCCGAAAUAGCUCAGUUGGGAGAGCGUUAGACAGAAAAUCUAAAGGUCCCUGGUUCGAUCCCGGGUUUCGGCA